AGUGCCUGCAGCUCCAGUUACACGGCCGGCUGGGCAAGGGGGGUGCGCCAGCUCUGGGAAGGGCCCACGGAGCUGCUGGCCCGGCUGACGUGCCCCCAUCCAUUGCAUGCCCAGGGCAGGCAACAGGGAGCCAGCCAGCAGAGCGAGAAGAUGGGGAAACUGAGGCCCAGAGAAGUGAGCAAGAAGCCUUGGCAUGAGUUACAAGGAGAAAGUACAGGAUUCAGAAGGCACCAGUCUGGGCUCUGAGGAGCCAUGGGGAGCAGCAGAGAUGAGGUCCCUGCUUUUUCUGUUAUGGAGAGACCAGGAUUGACCUUCAGCCACCACCCACUACUGCCUUUACUUGGUGCCACACUGCACCCCUGAGAGAUCUGGACCUUAAACAAGCAAACAAAUAUGUAAAAAGACACAUUCCCAAAGUGAUCCUGCCGUGAUGAAGACAGACGGGAUACUGAACGGAUAGGAGCGGGGCAGGCACAUUUAAGCCAGCGUGGAUAGCCAGGAAACCUCUUUGGAGAUACAGUUUAAGUUGUGGAGAAAAAGAUAGAUGGUGGCUAUCUGGGGGAAGAGAUUCCAGGUGGAGGAAAUGGCAGGUGCCAAGGCCCUGAGGCAGGAACGUGUUUGGCAUACUUCAGGAGCAAUGAGCUGGCUGGCACGAUGCAACCCAGAGUGAACUCCAGUUCAGAGCGCGGGUGGAGAUGAGGCUGGCGUUAAGGAUCCCAGGAAGAAAGCCUACCUCCCCAAAGGGUAUCAGCUCUUCCAAAGCAUGGGGAAUUCUGUUUGAAGGAGGAAACAAAUGUAGCACGGAUCACUUUUAAUCCUAGAACAUUUUGCAUAAAAACUCACAGCUCUGGGAGUAGGAACUGGUAUCAUGAAUCAAACAUCAAAAAUGCUCACUCUGAACAGGCAAUUUUGCUUCAAGACACUGAUUCUCAGGAAGCAGCAUUAGAUGUAGACAAAGAUUUAGUGGCAAGGGUGAUCAGGGGCAUGUUCACCACAGCAGGGAAAACCAAGGAAACACUGCAGUGUUGAUGGAGGGUUUGGCUGCACAUAUUACACCCUGCCAAGGCGCCGGAUACUAUGCGGCCAUGUGAAAUGGUGUUAUAGAGAAAUGUUUAACAGCACAAAUUCAUGAGCACUAUAUACUGUUAAAAUGAAAAACAGCAUGGUUCUUUCUUUCUAAAUAUACAUAUGUAUGUAUGGGCAUAAGAAAAGAGAUUAGCAAUGCUAAUGACCAUCUCUGUGAGAGGGGCUUGCAGGCAAGUAUUCUUGUCCUCCUUUUGUUUAUCUCAAUAUUUUUUCACCUAAAAGCCACUUCAGUUCCCGAGUUAAGUUCACAGGGAAAGUUUAAAGAGAUGCAUGGCUUUGUGGUCCUAUAGCCAAGAGGGGUCCCAGAAUGGUGGCCUCAUGACUCUGGUCACUGGGAUGGGUCAGUCUGCCAUCUGCAGUCCUCUGGUGAUGCAGUACCUAUCCUUUCAUGCCCUCAUGUGCCAAGCCCUGUGUCCAAGCUUACCCCACACAACUUCCAAUCUGGGAGAUACUACUGACAUCUGACAGAUGGGGAAACUGAGGCUCAGGGAAGGGUGGCAGCCUACCCAAGGUUUCACAGUUAAGCAUCGCCAAAGCUGGGGCCCAAACUCAACCAGAAUCUGGAAGCCUAUGAUUCGAUGAGAGCACAACUUACUCUACCCACCCACUCACCAUUUCUCAGUUCCAGCCAUGUGCCGGGCCCUGUGUAGGGCAGCUCUACACAUGCCCUCACCAUGAUGGGAAACUAGGCACAGAGAGGUUAAACAAUUUGCCUGAGGCUACCCAGCCUAGAAGUGGCAGAGCCUGGAGACCUGACUCCCCACUGCACACUCCAGCCUCCAUAUUGGGGGAAGUCCAGAGGGAGCCAGGAGGAUAACUGCCUUCUAUUCCUAACGACUUGGUGGGGAAGCUGAGGCAGUUGUGAGUGAUUGCAGGGAGCUGCUGAUGACCCACUUUCCAGACAGUCCAGUCUCCCUGUCUGAACCUCCCAAGAGAUUGAGAGGCUUGGGUGGGAACUGAUCAAAGGUCUCCAUUAGAGGUGCUGUCAGAGCCCUGGAGUUCCAAGGAAGCCCAGAGAGGGGUGGUGACUUGUCCAAGGUCACACAGCCCAAGAGCAGCAAGGCAAGGCCUAUAAGCCUCCCUUCCCCAGACACAACAGGCUGGAGUAAGGGGACUGUCAAGGAGAAGGAAGGAGAGAGCCUGCAUCUUCCAGGCAGAGAUUCCUCACGUCUGGCAAUCACGUCAUCGGCGGGGACGCCGCAGCCCCCGGAGUCACCGUCCCCGUCCUUCAUGACCUCAUCUCUUGGCUGGGACCCAGCCCAGAGCCUGGUGCCUGGAAUCAAUACCUCUUGGCAGCGCCUAAGGCCCCCUUGUCUUCCUGCCCCCACCCUGGGCAGCCCGGCCUAGCGCCUCGACCUCCCUCCCACGCCCAUCACAGAAGGCUGGAAGCCAGCACUGAAAUCCUCAGGCAGCGCAAACUCUUUCCCUCCCCAGCAGCUCGCCUGUGCUGAGCUCACUGUAGGUGGGAGGAAGGAGGCUCUGCUCAAAUCCAGACAUCUCCCCACAAUUGCCACCCCAUGGGGGCAGCUCACAUGGCCUCCUUGAGCCUGGGUUUCCCUGUGUGACUAAGGGGGGGAUGAAUCCAACUUACUGGAUGGCCAUGAGGUUCCACUGUCAAACACAGAGCCUGGCAAACAGCAGGGACUUCAUACACACUAAGUCCCUCCUCUCCUUAGUCUGGAUGCUUAAUAAAGCAAGUUCAAGGCUUGCUUAAUAAAGGCAAGUUCAAGUUAAUUGUUAUCACAGUUAACAGCAACCAUGUGAGGGAAGCAGGGGAACCAAUGACUCCUCUUUACAGAUGGGAAAGUGGAGGUUUGGGGAGGGUAACAUGGAAACAGGCUUUGAACGCAGCACUUUAUGACUUCAAAAUGCGGCUCAGGGCUGUGUCUCAGCACCUGGGCUGGAGAGCUCUUACAGAACAUGUCACCCAACCCACACACCUGUUCACAGGUGGGGAAACUAUGGUUCAGAAAGGUCAAGGGAGCGCUGAAGGUCAGAGAGCUAGUCAGAGAUGGGGCUGGGUGUCUACACUCCAGGCCUGUGGGGACUGGGAAUCUUCAAGGCCUGCAAUCUGGAGGAGGCUGUGACAGGAUGGUUCCUCCUCUGUAGCCACCCACUCGUUUGGUCCCUGUGCAUUAGCGGGAAUCUGCCAUGUGUCCAUCCAGCGAGAGGGCCUGUCCCCAUCACCCCGCCCUGGGGAUUGAUAUCCUUGUAUCAGCUUUGACCAGGACGUUGUGGCUUCUCGAGGGUUUGGAAGUGUGUCCCUGCUUCCCAGGCCCCAACAGCUUCAGAGCAUUGGGACAGAGUGUCCCAGCAGGGGCUAAGAGAGGUGAGGCCCCGCACCAGCUGAGGCUGUAGAGUCAACGCAGGUAACAGAAGGGAGAUGAGAGAGGCAGCUCGACUGCUCCUGUUGGUGUUUUUGUAUUGUUUUUCGAAAAAAAUAACAAAUCCAGA
rnacentral:lncRNA from 1 species